GACUCCGGUGUAAUUUACGCCAAA
rnacentral:siRNA from 1 species